rnacentral:rRNA from 1 species
CCCGGCUUAACUGGGAAGGGUCGUCCAAAACUAGGUCACUAGAGGGCAGAAGAGGAAAGCGGAACUCCUACUGUAGCAGUGGAAUGCUUAGAGAUUAGGAGGAACACCAGUGGCGAAGGCGGCUUUCUGGUCUGCACCUGACGCUGAGAGGCGAAAGCUAGGGUAGCGAACGGGCUUAGAUACCCCGGUAGUCCUAGCCGUAAACGGUGGAUACUAGGUAUUGGGGGUGAUACUCCCGCAGUGCCGCAGCUAACGCGCUAAGUAUCCCGCCUGGGGACUACGACCGCAAGGUUAAAACUCAAAGGAAUUGACGGGGACCCGCACAAGCAGCGGAGCGUGUGGUUUAAUUCGAAGCUACACGAAGAACCUUACCUGGGCUUGACAUGCACGUAGUAGGGAACCGAAAGGUGACCGACUCUUCGGAGAGCGUGCACAGGUGCUGCAUGGCUGUCGUCAGCUCGUGCCGUGAGGUGUUGGGUUAAGUCCUACAACGAGCGCAACCCUUGUUGCUAGUUAGAUAUGUCUAGCGAGACUGCCGGCAUAUAACCGGAGGAAGGUGGGGAUGACGUCAAGUCAGUAUGGCCUUUAUGUCCAGGGCUACACACACGCUACAAUGGCCAGUACAGAGGGCAGCCAAGCCGUGAGGCGGAGCUAAUCCCACAAAGCUGGUCUCAGUUCAGAUUGCAGGCUGCAACCCGCCUGCAU